GGAAUAUUGGACAAUGGGGGCAACCCUGAUCCAGCCAUGCCGCGUGCGUGAAGAAGGCCUUAGGGUUGUAAAGCGCUUUCGACGGGGAAGAUGCUGACGGUACCCGUAGAAGAAGCCCCGGCUAACUCCGUGCCAGCAGCCGCGGUACUACGGAGGGGGCUAGCGUUGUUCGGAAUUACUGGGCGUAAAGGGCGCGUAGGCGGACCAUCAAGUCAGGGGUGAAAGGCCUGGGCUCAACCCGGGAACUGCCUUUGAAACUGAAGGUCUAGAGUCCGAGAGAGGAUAGCGGAAUUCCCAGUGUAGAGGUGAAAUUCGUAGAUAUUGGGAAGAACACCAGUGGCGAAGGCGGCUAUCUGGCUCGGAACUGACGCUGAGGCGCGAAAGCGUGGGGAGCAAAC
rnacentral:rRNA from 1 species